GUGCCACUGGAUAGCUCAGUUGGUUACAGCAUGGUGCUGAUAACUCCAAGGCUGCAGGUUUGAUCCCCAUAUGGGACA